rnacentral:rRNA from 1 species
CUAACACAUGCAAGUCGAGCGGGCGUAGCAAUACGGCAGCGGCAGACGGGAGAGUAACACGUGGGAACGCGCCCUUCGGUUCGGAAUAACUCAGGGAAACUUGGGCUAAUACCGGAUACGCCCUUACGGGGAAAGAUUUAUUGCCGAAGGAACGGCCCGCGUCCGAUUAGCUUGUUGGUGAGGUAACGGCCCCCCAACGCGACGAUCGGUAGCUGGUCU